CGACAAUUGGUCGUUGGCGGUAGACGCGAAACCACGUGAACUACCCAUGAGCAGGUUGAAGCGCGGGUUAUACUGCGUGGAGGACCGAACCCACUUGGGUUGAAAACCGAGGGGAUGACUUGUGGGGAGGGCUGAAAGUGCAAUCAAACGUGGAGAUAGCUCGUUCUCUCCGAAAUAGCUUUAGGGCUAGCCUUGAGCCACUAUGCAGCAGGGGUAGAGAGACUGAAUUGGUUGGAGGCGCCUCACCGCGUACUCUGCCGAACCAAACUCCGAAUACUGCUGUAACUAUCUCAGGAGUCAGUCGGCGAGGGAUAAGCUUCGUCGUCGAGAGGGAAACAACCCAGACUAUCUGCUAAGGUCCCCAAAUGAUACUCAGUCACUAAGGAAGUUGAUUUGCUGUGACAACCAGGAUGUUGGCUUAGAAGCAGCCACCAUUUAAAAAGUGCGUAACAGCUUACUG
rnacentral:rRNA from 1 species